GACGAACGCUGGCGGCGUGCUUAACACAUGCAAGUCGAACGGAAAGGCCCUGCUUUUGUGGGGUGCUCGAGUGGCGAACGGGUGAGUGACACGUGAGUAACCUGCCCUUGACUUUGGGAUAACUUCAGGAAGCUGGGGCUAAUACCGGAUAGGAGCUCCUGCUGCAUGGUGGGGGUUGGAAAGUUUCGGCGGUUGGGGAUGGACUCGCGGCUUAUCAGCUUGUUGGUGGGGUAGUGGCUUACCAAGGCUUUGACGGGUAGCCGGCCUGAGAGGGUGACCGGCCACAUUGGGACUGAGAUACGGCCCAGACUCCUACGGGAGGCAGCAGUGGGGAAUAUUGCACAAUGGGCGGAAGCCUGAUGCAGCAACGCCGCGUGCGGGAUGACGGCCUUCGGGUUGUAAACCGCUUUCGCCUGUGACGAAGCGUGAGUGACGGUAAUGGGUAAAGAAGCACCGGCUAACUACGUG
rnacentral:rRNA from 1 species